CUACGGGCGGCUCCAGUGAGGAAUAUUGCACAAUGGGGGGAACCCUGAUGCAGCAACGCCGCGUGGAGGAUGACGCAUUUCGGUGUGUAAACUCCUUUUAUAUGUCAAGAAAAUGACGGUAGCAUAUGAAUAAGCACCGGCUAACUCCGUGCCAGCAGCCGCGGUAAUACGGAGGGUGCAAGGCGUUACUCGGAAUCACUGGGCGUAAAGGACGCGUAGGCGGGUUGGAAAGUCAGGUGUGAAAUCCUACAGCUUAACUGUAGAACUGCACUUGAAACUUCUAAUCUAGAGUAUGGGAGGGGGAGAUGGAAUUAGUGGUGUAGGGGUAAGAUCCGUAGAUAUCACUAGGAAUACCUAAAGCGAAGGCGAUCUCCUGGAACAUUACUGACGCUAAGGCGUGAAAGCGUGGGGAGCAAACAGGAUUAGAUACCCGCGUAGUC
rnacentral:rRNA from 1 species